GGGGAUUUAGCUUAGUGGUUUCAGCGUCUGCCUUGCAAGCACUAGGUCCCGAGUUCAAUCCCCG
rnacentral:tRNA from 1 species